CGCCCUUAGAGUUUGAUCCUGGCUCAGAUUGAACGCUGGCGGCAGGCCUAACACAUGCAAGUCGAACGGUAAAGCAGCUUGCUGCUUACGAGUGGCGGACGGGUGAGUAAUGUCUGGGAAGCUGCCUGAUGGAGGGGGAUAACUACUGGAAACGGUAGCUAAUACCGCAUAAUGUCGCAAGACCAAAGAGGUUCGUCUUGCCAUCGGAUGUGCCCAGAUGGGAUUAGCUUGUUGGUGGGGUAACGGCUCACCAAGGCGACGAUCCCUAGCUGGUCUGAGAGGAUGACCAGCCACACUGGAACUGAGACACGGUCCAGACUCCUACGGGAGGCAGCAGUGGGGAAUAUUGCACAAUGGGCGCAAGCCUGAUGCAGCCAUGCCGCGUGUAUGAAGAAGGCCUUCGGGUUGUAAAGUACUUUCAGCGGGGAGGAAGGGAGUAAAGUAAUCUUUGCUCUUGACGUUACCCGCAGAAGAAGCACCGGCUAACUCCGUGCCAGCAGCCGCGGUAAUACGGAGGGUGCAAGCGUUAAUCGGAAUUACUGGGCGUAAAGCGCACGCAGGCGGUUUGUUAAGUCAGAUGUGAAAUCCCCGGGCUCAACCUGGGAACUGCAUCUGAUACUGGCAAGCUUGAGUCUCGUAGAGGGGGGUAGAAUUCCAGGUGUAGCGGUGAAAUGCGUAGAGAUCUGGAGGAAUACCGGUGGCGAAGGCGGCCCCCUGGACGAGACUGACGCUCAGGUGCGAAAGCGUGGGGAGCAAACAGGAUUAGAUACCCUGGUAGUCCACGCCGUAAACGAUGUCGACUUGGAGGUUGUGCUCUUGAGGCGUGGCUUCCGGAGCUAACGCGUUAAGUC
rnacentral:rRNA from 1 species